rnacentral:rRNA from 1 species
GACGAACGCUGGCGGCGUGCUUAACACAUGCAAGUCGAACGAAGAGCGAUGGAAGCUUGCUUCUAUCAAUCUUAGUGGCGAACGGGUGAGUAACGCGUAAUCAACCUGCCCUUCAGAGGGGGACAACAGUUGGAAACGACUGCUAAUACCGCAUACGAUCUAAUCUCGGCAUCGAGGAUAGAUGAAAGGUGGCCUCUACAUGUAAGCUAUCACUGAAGGAGGGGAUUGCGUCUGAUUAGCUAGUUGGAGGGGUAACGGCCCACCAAGGCGAUGAUCAGUAGCCGGUCUGAGAGGAUGAACGGCCACAUUGGGACUGAGACACGGCCCAGACUCCUACGGGAGGCAGCAGUGGGGAAUCUUCCGCAAUGGACGAAAGUCUGACGAAGCAACGCCGCGUGAGUGAUGACGGCCUUCGGGUUGUAAAGCUCUGUUAAUCGGGACGAAAGGCCUUCUUGCGAAUAGUGAGAAGGAUUGACGGUACCGGAAUAGAAAGCCACGGCUAACUACGUG